rnacentral:tmRNA from 1 species
AACCUCAAUUAGCACUGGCGGCUUAAUAAACGCUGCCGGUCCCCCGAGGGCGGGUCUCUUGGCUCUCGGUACGGACCUCAAAAACAAGAGUCUAGUUGAAGUUGUUGGGUUCGUUGCGACUUCGGCGAAAUCUUAAGCGAAUCCUUCUCGGCGUAGCCCGCUCGACGGUUGCAUCGGGGAGUAUCCAGUCGAGCUAAGCCUGUAGAUGCCUUGGACUAGCCAAGUUCGGACGGGGGUUCGAAUCCCCCCGCCUCCACCA